GUGUGUUUUUCUGUUAUUAGGUAACCUCACUCAGGAUGAUAUUUUCUAGGUCCAUCCAUUAUGCUUAUGAAUUUCAUACACAUUGAUUUUGAUAGCUGAGUAGUAGUCCAUUGUGUAAAUAUAGGCCAUUUUCUGUAUCCAUUCCUCUGGUGAAGGGCAUCUGGCUGUGGAAGCAUGGUCAACCUCAAACAUCUCUGUCACUCUAGCAAGCAGAUGUUGUCACAAUUUCAAAUCACAUCAGUCACCGAAAAUAACCUGGGUAAAAAUCUCUUACAGAGGGAUGGCAGCCAUUACUGGAGAAGGAAGUGGCUUUGAUGUCCAUUAGAAAAAUCUGCUCAUGCCAUGCCAUUCAGUCAACCCAAGCAUUAUGGGAUGAAGAGAUCUAGCUUUAGAGAAUGAAUGUUUAAAGUUUCCUUGGGAAAUUUUAGCCUGUUCGCAAUGGUUCACUGUUAACAGGAAAUAUUUGAAGUGGAAUACUAUACAGCUAUGAAAAAUAAGGACAUUGUGAAGUUGUGGUCAACUAGAUGGAACGAGUUGAGAAAAUUGAAACUCCUCUGGGUGAGAUCAUUGAAGACCUUGAGAAAAAGGAACACUGGGCAUGGAUCACUGAAGAAACAGAUAUCCACAGAAAAUACAAGAGACAUGACUGAGGAAGAGACAGCUGUGUCUACUGGACUAUGGAUCAAUGGUUCUUCUUGAAAUUCUUUGAAGAAGUGAAAACUGGUAUGUUUAUCUGUUCACAUUCAUAAAGCAUCACCGUUGCAUUAGUAUUGAACAGACAGCACAACCGUCAAGAGACAAACUGACUUUCUUGCCAAAGAAACAAAUCUUCACGUAAAUGGAGGCAGUUUCGUUCUUAGGUACAAUAGUUUAAAAUCCCCUGAGAAUGUUUCCUACAGGUACCCUUUCCUGUUUAUUGUAAUAUCCUAGGAAAUGGAUUUUCUCUUUGCAUUUUGUUUCAAGUGUUAAGAUCUACAAGAAAGUUUUGACUGUGUGUACUA